rnacentral:rRNA from 1 species
AACGAACGCUGGCGGCAGGCUUAACACAUGCAAGUCGAACGGGUGUAGCAAUACAUCAGUGGCAGACGGGUGAGUAACACGUGGGAACCUUCCUAGGGGUACGGAACAACUCAGGGAAACUUGAGCUAAUACCGUACACGUCCGUGAGGAGAAAGAUUUAUCGCCCUUAGACGGGCCCGCGUCGGAUUAGCUAGUUGGUGGGGUAACGGCCUACCAAGGCGACGAUCCGUAGCUGAUCUUAGAGGAUGAUCAGCCACACUGGGACUGAGACACGGCCCAGACUCCUACGGGAGGCAGCAGUGGGGAAUCUUGGACAAUGGGCGCAAGCCUGAUCCAGCCAUGCCGCGUGAGUGAAGAAGGUCUUCGGAUUGUAAAGCUCUUUUGCCAGGGACGAUAAUGACGGUACCUGGAGAAUAAGCCCCGGCAAACUUCGUGCCAGCCGCCGCCGCAG